rfam:Rattus norvegicus chromosome 10, whole genome shotgun sequence.
GGGGAUUUGGCUCAGUGGUAGAGCGCUUGCCUAGGAAGCGCAAGGUCCUGGGUUCAAUCCCCA